rnacentral:rRNA from 1 species
UACGGAGGGUGCUAGCGUUGUUCGGAAUUACUGGGCGUAAAGCGCACGUAGGCGGACGUUUAAGUCAGGGGUGAAAUCCCGAGGCUCAACCUCGGAACUGCCUUUGAUACUGCAAGGCUCGAGUCCGGAAGAGGUGAGUGGAAUUCCUAGUGUAGAGGUGAAAUGCGUAGAUAUUAGGAAGAACACCAGUGGCGAAGGCGGCUCACUGGUCCGGUACUGACGCUGAGGUGCGAAAGCGUGGGGAGCAAACAGG